rnacentral:lncRNA from 1 species
GAAUUCAUCAGACCAUGUUGAUACCGGAAGUAUUCUCCAGGGCUAUCCCUUGCAAGCUCCCAUUAAGAAGGAGAUGAAUGAUGAUAUGAACUGUAGUAGUUCAGCAGCAGAAUUACAUAUUUUGUCCCAGAAGAUUGAACAGCCUGAUGAUCAAACCAAAAAAUUACAGUCGUUGGAUUCAGAUAAAACAUCCAGAAAUGGUGACGUCAAACUUUUUGGGAAGAUACUAACCAAUCCUUCAUCAGCACAGAAACCUAAUGUGGGUGCUAAAGGUAGUGAAGAAAAUGGUAUCCACCAUCAUAAGUUCAGCAAACCUUCUGGUGUGAAAUUUGCCGGACAUAAUGCAGAUGGGAAUUUGAAAAUUUUGAAGUUUGACUGUA